GAUGAACGCUGGCGGCGUGCCUAAUACAUGCAAGUCGAGCGAACGGACGAGAAGCUUGCUUCUCUGAUGUUAGCGGCGGACGGGUGAGUAACACGUGGAUAACCUACCUAUAAGACUGGGAUAACUUCGGGAAACCGUAGCUAAUACCGGAUAAUAUUUUGAACCGCAUGGUUCAAAAGUGAAAGACGGUCUUGCUGUCACUUAUAGAUGGAUCCGCGCCGCAUUAGCUAGUUGGUAAGGUAACGGCUUACCAAGGCAACGAUGCAUAGCCGACCUGAGAGGGUGAUCGGCCACACUGGAACUGAGACACGGUCCAGACUCCUACGGGAGGCAGCAGUAGGGAAUCUUCCGCAAUGGGCGAAAGCCUGACGGAGCAACGCCGCGUGAGUGAUGAAGGUCUUCGGAUCGUAAAACUCUGUUAUUAGGGAAGAACAUAUGUGUAAGUAACUGUGCACAUCUUGACGGUACCUAAUCAGAAAGCCACGGCUAACUACGCG
rnacentral:rRNA from 1 species